CCUCGUGUUAGAAUUCAAGGGAGGAGAAAUAUCAAAGUGUCUGAAGGAUCAAAUUCUAAUCUUACUUGCCUCAUCGAUUCUCCUACUAUAGAAAAGAACAAUGUUACAUGGAUUUUUAAUGAAAAUAAGGAAAUAAGAAGGUUUGAUAGAUUUGACAAAAGUGUAACUGUAUUACACAUAUCAAGAAUUCACCGUAAAAAUACUGGAUAUUAUAAAUGUCAAGUAGAAAAUGAAUUUGGAUUUGGAGAAGAUUCUGUUAAGAUCAAUGUCACAUACAAACCAACAAUACUUUUCAAUGGAACAACCUUUGAAGCGAAGACGGAAAUCUCAAAGCCUGUCAAUGUAUCUUUUCGAGUGGAAUCUUUUGAAAUCCCUUUGGUCUUCUGGCACCAGACGGCCGGUGGAAAGCUGAACACUUGGAAAAUAUAUGAGUGUAAAGACAACAAAACUUUUUGCCUGUUAUCCAACAUUGCACCACUUACACACAAGAAUUUCGGAAAUUAUUCUGUUCGCAUUCGUAACAUAGAAGGCAGUACAGAUUUAAACAUAAGACUACUAUAUAAAGACUUUCAUGUGCAAAUCAAAGAAGAGAGAAUGGUAUUGAAAACGUCAGAAACUAUUGUAAUUAAUUGUUCUAUAAAUCCAAAAGAAUAUGGUGAGUGGGUUGUAGUAUGGAAACAUGUUUGGAAUGGUAUUUUCAUCCGGUCUUUUCCGUCUUUAGUACAAAACAAAACAUCAACAUUGGAACUGCCUCACUGUGACUACAAGGAUACUGGUGAAUACGUGUGUACUCUAAAUACAGAGGAUGCUGAAUUUUUAGAUAAAGUUUUUGUGAGUGUAUUAGGUCCACCAAUUGCAUCUAACAAAAGUAUUUCAUCGAUCCAUAAUCGUCUUAUCUUUUCCGUACACCUUUACAUCAAUCCGCCAAUAUCUAAAAUAACAUGGAUGCAUGAAUCAGACGACAAAACAACUAUAAUGAACUUGAAAGCUCUAAAUUCAGUUCAAAUGGUAUCAAACACGAGCGUCACAAUUGAAAGUUACGGAAAGUCUGUCAGUGUCCGAGGCAUCAAGGUUAACCUUGUUUUGGAUCAUUUGAAUCUUGAAGGUGGAUAUUUGGUUUGUCAAGUGCAGAAUUCCUUUGCACCAGCAGAAGAGUCGUUCGGACUAAUAAAUUUAACACAUUUAUUCUCAAAAGAUACACUGGAUUGGCCUCCAAACUUGAUUGAAACAACUUAUAUACCUAAUAGCAGUAGACAAGAAAUUGAAGGUGUUACAAAAAGACAGAUGUUUUACAUUCCAGGAGGUGUUUUUGUGUUUGCUGCUAUACUCAUUUGUGUGUUGAUUUAUUUUCUUCGACGAAGAAAACUCAGUCGCAGAAAUGAUUUUAAAAUCGACCCUAUAACCAAUACAAUU